UUUUUUUACAAGAGGACCUCGCGCUGUCUCGUCACCUAUAGCAACCAGUUGCUAUAGCGAUCGUUUUAGGUGCUGUUGUGCGCUUUUUUCUGAUGCGGGGUAAGCCGAGUGAGGCUGACCAACCUGCAUCGCAGAGCUUCACGCCUGAUUGAGCGGAUUCGAUUUCUUCAAACCCUGGAAUGCUUCCAUUACACGUUCCAGGGUUCGCACACUAGUUGCUCCAAUUUGCUAAUGAGCUUAUCAACCAGCUUCCCAAUAUUUGAGGAGACGAGCAAAGCGGCUUCAAACUCGGCUCCACACCUCCUCUGGUGAAGGAUACAUCGAUGUAUGCUAGCGUGGAAGUCUUCAUAUUUCUAGUUGCCGUGGUUACCCGAGGGCACCAUUGAAGUUCCAGCUUCCUUCAUUUCAGUGACUGCAAAUAUUGAGUGAUGUUGAUUUUUUAAAGCAAAUUUUCAUUGCAAACAAGCGAAUAAAUACAUAGAAUGUAAAACUUUUAUUCUGUAAUAUGUACCCAUGCCUGCAAAUGGAAUUGUACAUGCUUGGCCAUAUGUGAUCCAUUAAUAAAUGAAUAAUACAUUUGUGAAAACAUGGGUCCA